CACGUAGGGCGCAAGCGUUGUCCGGAAUUAUUGGGCGUAAAGAGCUCGUAGGCGGUCUGUUGCGUCCGCUGUGAAAACUCGGGGCUUAACCCCGAGCCUGCAGUGGAUACGGGCAGACUAGAGGUAGGUAGGGGAGAAUGGAAUUCCCGGUGUAGCGGUGAAAAUGCGCAGAUAUCGGGAGGAACACCAAUUGCGAAGGCAGCUCGCUGGGACGUUACUGACGCUGAGACGCGAAAGCGUGGGGAGCAAACAGG
rnacentral:rRNA from 1 species